CCUACGGGCGGCUGCAGUGGGGAAUAUUGCACAAUGGGCGCAAGCCUGAUGCAGCCAUGCCGCGUGUGUGAAGAAGGCCUUCGGGUUGUAAAGCACUUUCAGCGGGGAGGAAGGCGGUGAGGUUAAUAACCUCAUCGAUUGACGUUACCCGCAGAAGAAGCACCGGCUAACUCCGUGCCAGCAGCCGCGGUAAUACGGAGGGUGCAAGCGUUAAUCGGAAUUACUGGGCGUAAAGCGCACGCAGGCGGUCUGUCAAGUCGGAUGUGAAAUCCCCGAGCUCAACCUGGGAACUGCAUUCGAAACUGGCAGGCUAGAGUCUUGUAGAGGGGGGUAGAAUUCCAGGUGUAGCGGUGAAAUGCGUAGAGAUCUGGAGGAAUACCGGUGGCGAAGGCGGCCCCCUGGACAAAGACUGACGCUCAGGUGCGAAAGCGUGGGGAGCAAACAGGAUUAGAUACCCCUGUAGUC
rnacentral:rRNA from 1 species